rnacentral:rRNA from 1 species
GCAGACGGUUACUUAAGCAGGAUGUGAAAUCCCCGGGCUCAACCUGGGAACUGCGUUCUGAACUGGGUGACUAGAGUGUGUCAGAGGGAGGUAGAAUUCCACGUGUAGCAGUGAAAUGCGUAGAGAUGUGGAGGAAUACCGAUGGCGAAGGCAGCCUCCUGGGAUAACACUGACGUUCAUGCUCGAAAGCGUGGGUAGCAAACAGGAUUAGAUACCCUGGUAGUCCACGCCGUAAACGAUGAGUGCUAGGUGUUAGACCCUUUCCGGGGUUUAGUGCCGUAGCUAACGCAUUAAGCACUCCGCCUGGGGAGUACGACCGCAAGGUUGAAACUCAAAGGAAUUGACGGGGGCCCGCACAAGCGGUGGAGCAUGUGGUUUAAUUCGAAGCAACGCGAAGAACCUUACCAGGUCUUGACAUCCCUCUGACCGCUCUAGAGAUAGAGUUUUC